rnacentral:rRNA from 1 species
UACAGAGGGGGCCAGCGUUAUUCGGAAUUAUUGGGCGUAAAGGGUGCGUAGGUGGCGCCGUAAGUCGGGUGUGAAAUUUCGGAGCUUAACUCCGAAACUGCAUUCGAUACUGCGGUGCUUGAGGACUGGAGAGGAGACUGGAAUUCAUGGUGUAGCAGUGAAAUGCGUAGAGAUCAUGAGGAAGACCAGUGGCGAAGGCGGGUCUCUGGACAGUUCCUGACACUGAGGCACGAAGGCCAGGGGAGCAAACGGG